rnacentral:rRNA from 1 species
UGAGCAAUCUGCCCUUCUCAUCGGAAUAAGCGUUGGAAACGACGUCUAAUGCCGAAUACGACCUCCUUUCGCAUGAUCGGAGGUGGAAAGCUCCGGCGGAGAAGGAUGAGCUCGCGGCCUAUCAGCUAGUUGGUGUGGGUAAUGGCACACCAAGGCGACGACGGGUAGCCGGCCUGAGAGGGUGACCGGCCACACUGGGACUGAGACACGGCCCAGACUCCUAGGAGG